UAUAUAUAUAUAUAUAUAUAUAUAUAUAUGUGGGUGUAUUUUAAACACAGAUUUUGGUCGCUAUUUGAGUUUCAUGCCCUGCGAUCUUUUGGACAAUGCUCUGAAAGAUUGCAGAUAGUGGAAGACAUGAAUAACAAUUGAAAUCUUAGUUUAAAUAAAAACAUACAUAAACUAUACACCACAUGUAUUUAGUGCUCUUUUCUUUCUUUUACAAAUGAUAACACACAUACACACACACAUAUAUCUGUAUCUCUCUGAGAAUCUGAAUCGAAACUACAAAGUAUAAAAAUGAAAAAGAAACAAAAAAAAAAAAAGCAAACAGUUUUAAUUAAAAAAUGUUGUAAAGUUUUAAAAAGCCAGAAAAGAAAACAUUAUCUUAAGCGAUUUAGAGUUUGUUGGCCAUGGCAAUGUACACACUUUUCUUUGGUUGUUGAUGUUUUUUAUUUUUUAUGUAAUAAAUGUCUGCAAUAAUUGUUAACAUAAUGAGAUAAUGUGACUUAGCC
rnacentral:lncRNA from 1 species